GAUGAACGCUGGCGGCGUGCCUAAUACAUGCAAGUCGAGCGAACGGACGGGAAGCUUGCUUCUCUGAUGUUAGCGGCGGACGGGUGAGUAACACGUGGAUAACCUACCUAUAAGACUGGGAUAACUUCGGGAAACCGGAGCUAAUACCGGAUAAUAUUUUGAACCGCAUGGUUCAAAAGUGAAAGACGGUCUUGCUGUCACUUAUAGAUGGAUCCGCGCUGCAUUAGCUAGUUGGUAAGGUAACGGCUUACCAAGGCAACGAUGCAUAGCCGACCUGAGAGGGUGAUCGGCCACACUGGAACUGAGACACGGUCCAGACUCCUACGGGAGGCAGCAGUAGGGAAUCUUCCGCAAUGGGCGAAAGCCUGACGGAGCAACGCCGCGUGAGUGAUGAAGGUCUUCGGAUCGUAAAACUCUGUUAUUAGGGAAGAACAUAUGUGUAAGUAACUGUGCACAUCUUGACGGUACCUAAUCAGAAAGCCACGGCUAACUACG
rnacentral:rRNA from 1 species